AUUGAACGCUGGCGGCAGGCUUAACACAUGCAAGUCGAGCGGGGAAAGGUAGCUUGCUACCUGACCUAGCGGCGGACGGGUGAGUAAUGCUUAGGAAUCUGCCUAUUAGUGGGGGACAACAUUCCGAAAGGAAUGCUAAUACCGCAUACGCCCUACGGGGGAAAGCAGGGGAUCUUCGGACCUUGCGCUAAUAGAUGAGCCUAAGUCAGAUUAGCUAGUUGGUGGGGUAAAGGCCUACCAAGGCGACGAUCUGUAGCGGGUCUGAGAGGAGGAUCCGCCACACUGGGACUGAGACCAGGCCCAGACUCCUACGGGAGGCAGCAGUGGGGAAUAUUGGACAAUGGGCGAAAGCCUGAUCCAGCCAUGCCGCGUGUGUGAAGAAGGCCUUUUGGUUGUAAAGCACUUUAAGCGAGGAGGAGGCUACCGAGAUUAAUACUCUUGGAUAGUGGACGUUACUCGCAGAAUAAGCACCGGCUAACUCUGUGCCAGCCGCCGCCGUAACAC
rnacentral:rRNA from 1 species